rnacentral:rRNA from 1 species
UACGGAGGGUGCAAGCGUUAUCCGGAUUCACUGGGUUUAAAGGGUGCGUAGGUGGGCAGGUAAGUCAGUGGUGAAAUCGCCGGGCUUAACUCGGAAACUGCCAUUGAUACUAUCUGUCUUGAAUACCGUGGAGGUCAGCGGAAUAUGUCAUGUAGCGGUGAAAUGCUUAGAUAUGACAUAGAACACCAAUUGCGAAGGCAGCUGGCUACACGAAUAUUGACACUGAUGCACGAAAGCGUGGGGAUCAAACAGG